ACAUGCAAGUCGAACGGAGAAUAUUUGGUUUACUAAGUAUUCUUCGUGGCGGACGGGUGAGUAACACGUGAGCAACCUGCCUUUGAGAGAGGGAUAGCUUCUGGAAACGCGUGGUAAUACCUCAUAACGUAGUUUUACCGCAUGAUGAGACUACCAAAGAUUUAUCACUCAAAGAUGGGCUCGCGUCUGAUUAGCUAGAUGGUGAGGUAACGGCCCACCAUGGCGACGAUCAGUAGCCGGACUGAGAGGUUGAACGGCCACAUUGGGACUGAGACACGGCCCAGACUCCCUACGGGAGGCAGCAGUGGGGAAUAUUGCACAAUGGGGGAAACCCUGAUGCAGCGAUGCCGCGUGGAGGAAGAAGGUUUUCGGAUUGUAAACUCCUGUCUUAAAGGACGAUAAUGACGGUACUUUAAGGAGGAACCU
rnacentral:rRNA from 1 species